rnacentral:rRNA from 1 species
UACAGAGGUCUCAAGCGUUGUUCGGAUUCAUUGGGCGUAAAGGGUGUGUAGGUGGCGCCGUAAGUCGGGGUGUGAAAUUUCGGAGCUUAACUCCGAAACUGCAUUCGAUACUGCGGUGCUUGAGGGCUGGAGAGGAGACUGGAAUUCAUGGUGUAGCAGUGAAAAUGCGUAGAGAUCAUGAGGAAGACCAGUGGCGAAGGCGGGUCUCUGGACAGUUCCUGACACUGAGACACGAAGGCCAGGGGGAGCA